UGAUUCAUAGUUAAUUGGUGUGUUUGUGU
rnacentral:piRNA from 1 species